rnacentral:rRNA from 1 species
UACGUAGGGUGCGAGCGUUAAUCGGAAUUACUGGGCGUAAAGCGUGCGCAGGCGGUUCGUUAAGUCAGCUGUGAAAGCCCCGAGCUUAACUUGGGAAUUGCGGUCGAAACUGGCGGACUAGAAUCUGGCAGAGGGGGGUGGAAUUCCACGUGUAGCAGUGAAAUGCGUAGAGAUGUGGAGGAACACCGAUGGCGAAGGCAGCCCCCUGGGCUGAGAUUGACGCUCAGGCACGAAAGCGUGGGGAGCAAACAGG